rnacentral:tRNA from 1 species
GGGCCUAUAGCUCAGGUGGUUAGAGCGCCCUGCUGAUAACGGGGAGGUCGGUCGUUCGAGUCGACUUAGGCCCA